GUCCAGCUACUUUUGAAUUGCAAACCAAAUGUUUAAACCAUGGAGUCAAGAAAAUUACAGACAAUCCAUUACAGUUUCGGCCGUAGGUCCUCCUCUCAUGACUGAGAAUCCAUAGUAUGCUGUAAGUGUUAAUUGCGCACAUGAUGUCCCAUCCGCAUUUACUUUGGGAGUCUAUAGGAUACCGUUUUGGCCUACCCAAAUGACGCACCAGUCAAUUGCUUAUGUAAUGUGCUCUUGACGAUUCAAGUGUUGUCUUUGUCACGCUAAACAAUGAGGUUUCUCACGCUUCCCGCGUCAUCAAAAGGUGCAAAUGGCCGUGCUGCCCUUAAAAUGCUGGACAACGAUAUUUUUAGUAGACAAAUAGCCUGUGGUUACAACCGAAUAAACCGUGUUACCGUCUGGAUAAAAUACAGGUAGGUCUAGGCUGGACUACGUUUAAGGUUUUUGCGCACCGUUUUUUUUUGCUACCUAAAUGGGUUUGGUGUUUCAGAAUUGUCCGACGACUCUUUUCAUGUGGAUUCCCUCAGUGACCCCACAGGAGGAAUAUGUGGAGCCGGCAUUUUCAACACAGUCCUUGCAACCUAAUGUGCCAGUGCAACCCAGAAGACUAAAACCCCAUCCCUGUCCCUCGGGGUCCAAACCUUUCCCUCCCUAGACUACGGAGGUCCCAACUGGUUUGUCAACCUAAAUUCAGAGAGCGCGCAUGGUCAGUCUCUCAUUCCCAAGGACUAAGACGCGCAGCACCCUCCGCUGGACUGGUGUUGGUGAACGAGACUAGGCCUACUGAGGAGACACUCCGGUAUAAGCGAAGGAGACGGAACAGGACCAGGGUGAGUCCUUCUCCGCUCUCAUAUGGUAGACCUACAGCACAUUCAAGGCAAGGACAGAGACAGUCCAGCUCACCUGCCGCUCCUGAGGCUCCACAGCCACAGUCAGUGGACACGAAUGGACAUUAACCUACUUUGAGUAACGACCCAGCUCCAGGCCAACACUGAGCUGCAGCGAGCCUGGCAUAUCCAACACCUUAUUCUGUCAGUGGACAACAGAACAACACCUUGAGCGAACUCCCAGUAAUCAGGACAGAAAUAGUGGAGAUAUCUCCAUUUAAAGCAAUUUAAAUGUUUGCUUGUUAGCAAUACUUUAC
rnacentral:lncRNA from 1 species